rnacentral:sRNA from 1 species
AUGGAUCGGCUUUCAUCGUCGACAAUUCUUCCAGACGCAUUUCAAGGAGCCAGAGAUGACAUUUCCAUGCAACUUGAAAUUAUCUGGGCUCAGAUCAAAGCGCCAUUGAUUGUCCCUCUGUUAAGAAUCUCAGUGGUUUUGUGCUUGAUCAUGUCAUUGAUGCUGUUCAUCGAGAGGGUUUAUAUGGGCAUUGUCAUUGUUCUGAUUAAGCUGUUUGGCCGAAAACCCGAAAAGCGUUACAAAUGGGAGGCAAUUAAAGACGACGUUGAGCUUGGAAACUCAGCUUAUCCUAUGGUCCUUGUCCAAAUCCCCAUGUACAACGAAAGAGAGGUGCUUUUUCUUUUUCUUUUCUCUGCUUAUUACAUAUUAGUCAAGAUCAAAAUAUGUGUUUUCUUGUUACAAUUCUAGCUUUAAACCUUAAAAGUUGUGUGUGUGUGUGUUUUUUUUUUUUUAAAAUUUAGGUGUACCAACUAUCAAUUGGAGCUGCAUGUGGGCUUUCAUGGCCUUCUGAUCGAAUCAUCAUACAAGUACUUGAUGAUUCCACAGACUCAACAAUAAAGGUAAUACAUAUUUGAUUUUUCUCCAUGAAAAUCACCAAUUUUUACGGUCCAAUUAACGAACCCAAAUUGCCAAAACCAUUAAUUAGUCAAUUUUCUUAAUUGGGUCAUGUUCCAAAAUUGUAAAUUGAUUAGGAUUUGGUGGAGCUAGAAUGUCAAAGGUGGGCAAGCAAAGGCAUAAACAUAAAGUACGAAAUUAGAGACAACAGAAAUGGGUAUAAAGCAGGUGCUUUGAAAGAAGGCAUGAAGCGUAGCUACGUGAAACAGUGCGAUUAUGUAGCCAUUUUUGACGCGGAUUUUCAACCCGAACCAGAUUUUCUAUGGCGAACCAUACCUUUCCUUACCCAUAAUCCUCAACUAGCACUCGUUCAGGCCCGUUGGAAAUUCGGUAAUUCCGCUAAAUCACCCAUAAACUUUUAUUUUUGGUUAGCUAUAGUCAGUACUAAUCUCACUGGUUUACUAUUAUUAUUAUUAGUAUUUUAAUUUUUCUGAUGAGAAUUUUUAGUAGGUUCUAAAAAAGAAAACAGUGGCCGCUUAAAAAACUGUCGGUGGUUCUGUUUUUGUUUGGGAAUGGAGAGAUGGACAGGAAAUGUUGUUUGGACAAUGGUCCCAUAUAUCUUGUCUCGGUUCUGAUUCUUCACUGGGCUGUCCUGGUUGGUAGUUGGGACACGUUUAUCUUUCUUUUUAUUGUUAAUUCCAAUAAUUGGGACGAUAAGAUAUGAACCCUUGAAAUCUCAUUAAGAACAAAAAUAUUAAUUGACGUACAAAAUUCUUGACUUUAUUACUUUUAGUAAAGGAAAUUAAAAGAAAAUUAUCUUAUAAAACUGUUUUAUAAAAUGCAUUCUCACAACAUCGAUAUCCUAAGGUUUAUCAAAUAUAAGAAGUGUGUCUUAUGAGACGGUUUGAUUAUAUAUAUUUUAGAUGGCUAAAAGUACUUACAUACUAAAUAUACUGCCCCCAACUCAAACCCAUGCUCUCUCCCAACUCACCCAAAUGAAACGGUAUUAAUUUUUCCUAAACAACCAAGCUAAUGAAAUUAAAUAGAAUGUAAAAUUAAGGCUAGAAACACAAGAAAUAGAUACAAUAGAAUUUUUUUUAUAAAAAAAAAAUAUAUAUAUAUAUAUAUAAUUUAUGGAGGUAAUAAACAUGAUCAUAGAAUAUCGCUUCAAAGUAAGAUCAUCAUUGAUACUAUAUUUAGUAUAAAAUAAAAUUUUGUGGAAUUUGUUAUGCAACCUGCUGACUGCUGUUCCCAUGUCUGAUUUUUUUUUUUUUGUUUUCUUCUUCUAUUUUAUUAGGUACCAUAAUUAGAAUGUUCCUCGAAAAUAGUAAUAUUAGACUUAGAGGGUUUUUUUUUUUUUUUUUCCUUUAAUUCUAAAUAUUAUUUUCCUAAUUAGGAGGCCACAAUUAUGAGAGGGUACCCAUCCUCUCCCUCUCACGAACUGGUCCCAGACUUCAUGAAAAUGAAUGUACCCUCUCUUUGCCAUCCAAAAAAAGAGAAAAAAAGAAAAGAAAGAAAGAGUGAAAGUAACAUCUCUUAAAAGGUUUUUUUAUUAUUAUUUUUUAUGAACGAAAAAAAAAAGUUUAUUAAUAAAACUCUUGAGAGUUUUUACAAAUAUAUUUGGAUACGGUAAUGAAGGAGGUUAUAAACUUAUCAUGAUAAUUUAAUCAUGCUUUUUUUCGAAAAACUUUAUGAAACAUGAAUUAAAGGACAACUUUUCCAUACUUUCAAAUUAUUGACAAGAAGAACGGUAGAUAAGAGCUUGAUAGUAGAGUACUGUGUACUUGUUUGAACAGCUACUUUAAAUAUUAAUAUCAAUCCACCCUGAUUAGAAUUUAUUAUAGUUUUGAAAGUAACUCUAUCAUAAAAAUUUAAAUAUCUUAUUAUGCAUCCAUGCUGAAAAGAAUGGAUUAGAUUUUGUCAUGUUAUUAGCAUUUAUAUUGAUGUUGACUAACACGGUUUGAUAUGUAUUUAAAUUAUUGAUAAUAUAGCAAAAUCUAAUCCGCUUAUUUUAUAAUAGAUAGAAUUUUCCAUGUUUAAAAUAUGCAAAUUUUCCAUUUGAUUGUUUGUAGGAUACAUCAUUGUGAUUCUGAUUUUCUAAAUAAAAUCCCUACGUGAAAAUUUUAAAGCCAAAAAUACUGAUUCUUCUCCUACCACCACCAGCAGCUGCAUGUGCAACCUUAAUGGUGGACCUCAUAUCCCAGUCACUGUCUAUCCUAUACUAACCGACAAUGGAAUUUAUGUGAUCUUUUAUCAUUUAUAAUGAUUGUAAAACUCAUGCCAGCUAUUUAGUAACGUGGCAGUGCUUUUUCUGUGCUGUUUUUUACAGUGAACUCCGAUGAGUGCUUGAUGACAAGAAUUCAAGAAAUGUCAUUGGAUUACCAUUUCACAGUGGAGCAAGAAGUGGGGUCAUCCACAUAUGCCUUCUUUGGAUUCAAUGGUAAAUCACUAGCUAAAAAUUUUAUCAGAAAUCACAGUAUAAUUCUUUAAUGUUAUGUGUUUGAUAAAAAGUUAAUGUGUUACUAUUGGUUUUGUGUAAAAAUAAAUAAAAUUUUAAUCUAACUUUUAAUAUUGAAAUGAUACAGGGACAGCAGGUGUGUGGAGAAUUGCUGCACUUAAUGAGGCUGGAGGAUGGAAAGACAGGACCACUGUGGAAGAUAUGGACCUGGCUGUUAGAGCUAGUCUCAAAGGAUGGAAAUUUUUGUACCUCGGAGGUGUUCAGGUAUUUAAUUAUUGGAAAAGGUUUACCUACAAACUGAUAUGAAAGAAAAUAUCUCAAAUCCAUUAGGUGAGAAUUGAUAACGUUAUGCCAUGUAAUGAGUUGGAGAAGAUUCCUCCAAAUUAACCUUGUACUCAAUUAUUAAUCAAUGAGUGUAGUAGAGACAAAUUUUCACUCCUGUUAAGUGGUCUAUAAUUGGUUCAUAAUAAAAGUAAUAUGUAAAAGUGAUGUUACUUCGAUUACAAGUUAUAACCUUAGAGAAUUGUGAAAAUGGUUUCGAAAAUAAUUGUGUCAUAGUAUUGCUCUUUAUCAAUAGUCUUAUGCACAGAAGUUUAUUACUAUAUUUUUCCUUAAGUUACCAUUGCUAUGGUAUGUUUGUUUGAACUUAAUAACACUACUCAUAUUCUCUCAUUGCUUUUUGAUCAGCAGUAGAGCUGUGCUUUGCAACUAGGAGAGUCAAUCACAGUUACCUUUUGUGAUUCAAGAAAUCCAUUAAGAAUGGGGGGGAAUUUGAACUCUUAUAUAGUCACUUUGAAUCCCACUGAACUAGGCCACCAAUAGCGAAAGAAAAUGCCCAUGAUUAAAUAACAAACAACACAUACUGGCUUCUGUUGAUUAAUGUUUCUAUAUACAGACUGUAAUGUUUAUAUAUAUUCUUAAUAUCACUUUACCAUAGGUGAAAAAUGAAUUGCCUAGUACAUUGAAAGCCUAUCGGUACCAACAACAUCGGUGGUCAUGUGGUCCGGCCAAUCUUUUCAGGAAAAUGGCAAUGGAGAUUAUAAGAAACAAGGUCAGUUUGCUUCUUUGUUCUGUCAAAUAUAUCAACUUCGCGGAAGUAAAAUGAAAGUUUUUUUGUCAGCUCACCCUUCAUUUUUAUACGUCUAAUGCAGAAAGUAUCUUUAUGGAAGAAGGUACAUGUGAUAUACAGCUUCUUCUUUAUUCGGAAGAUCAUAGCCCACAUAAACACAUUUGUGUUUUACUGCAUUGUACUACCAGCAACUGUUGUAGUACCUGAAGUUGUGGUUCCAAAGUGGGGAUCAGUUUACAUUCCAUCCCUCAUCACCCUUCUUAAUGCUGUUGGAACUCCAAGGUCAGAUAUCCUUUUCUGCUUCUCUAUCUGGUUUUUUGAACAUCUUCUGAUAGGUUCACAGCAUUUUGGCAUUGAGCUUUGCAAUUUGAGGGAAGCACUAUUUGGUAGAAACUAGGUUCUUUAUCUUACCUUUGGGUGACAAGUAUACUUCACCUAUUUUGCUGUAAAAAUAGUUCCUAAGGAUUCAACUUCCUCUGCUUCUUGAUGAACUGAAAGCAAGGAUUAGAAUAAUUCUUGAAGGAAACAUUUUCCAGGAAAAAAUACACAAACAACUAAACCUUUUUUUUUAAAAGCCAAAGUGUUGGUCUUGUGGUUUCCAAGUCUUGUGUGAUCCAUAAGGUUCUGGAUUCAAGUCCCCUACCAUUGCCUUCACACCAGCCUCAAGGGAUUUCUCCUUAAAACACAAGGGAUUAGUUAGGUGCCUUAAGAGCUGGACACCAUGUUAGCCAUAAAAGGGGAAAAAUUUUCAAAUUAUUAACUUACCUGCAAUCUAGGCCAGUGAAUGUUGCUUCAGCAAUUAUGUUAAGUGUCAUUUCCUAGGCAUUGUUGCCAUAGUGAUCUAGGCCUUACUGAUUUUUCUUGGGUUUUUGUUCAUGUUCUUUCAUAAUCUUUCAGGUCACUCCACUUAUUGGUUUUCUGGAUCCUUUUUGAGAAUGUCAUGUCACUACAUCGAAUGAAGGCUACCAUCAUUGGUCUACUAGAGACAAAUCGAGCAAAUGAAUGGAUUGUAACAGAGAAACUAGGAGAUGCUCUCAAGCCUAAAGCAGGCUUGAAAGCACCAAGAAAACCUCGGUUCAGAAUUGGAGAAAGGUAUGCAUUCUUCCAUAGACUUGCUGUGUAAUUUAGUCAUGCCCUCCUUUUUAAAGUAAUAUCAUCUAUACUAGAGAAUUUCUGAUCAAUAUUUGUUAUUUUGUUCUUAAACUGUGACAGACUCCAUUUACUAGAGCUUGCAGUUGGAGCUUUCCUAUUAUAUGUUGGCUGGUAUGAUGUUUUCUUUGGAAAAAAUCACUUCUUCAUAUUCCUUUUUAUCCAAGCAGCUGCCUUCUUCAUCGUGGGGUUUGGGUACGUUGGCACCUUUGUCCCAAACUCUUAGAGGAACUCCCAACAAUGAUACUGAAGUUCUUUUUGCCAUUUUGUUAAUGUGUCUGUAUAAUUUCUGCUUCAGCAACAUAUACAUGACCAUUCAUACCGACAAUAUCUUGAAAUUAUAGCUUUGUAAAAAAGAACAAAACUAUAUAUGGUCAAUUUUAUAGGCUCGCAUAAUAUUUGAGUUAGUGAUUCGAAAAAGUUAGUUCUCUUUGUGUAUACUUUAAAGGAAAAUUACAGAACAAAAGGAUUGUUACCAGAAUGUGCAUUAUACAGAAAGGAGGAACUGAAGGCAGUUUGUGGGAAGGACCCAGACCCCAAAGUAAACAUCUUUGAGUGGUUUUUUUUUUCUAGCUUUUUAUCAUAUUUUUCUCUGUUCUUAUGCCCUUAUUUUGUUGGAUUUCUUUGAAGAAGAAUAAACAGUAAACAGUUGGGAAAGGAAAAGAUCAAUGUUACAUCUCUCUCUCUCUCUCUCUCUCUCUCUCUCUCUCUCUGUGUGUUUUGCAAGCAUUAGGUAUGUAUGGUAGAUAUGUUACUGACCAAUAGGUAGCACAGUGAAGGAGAGUAAAUAACUGAACAUUAUGCAGGAAAAUAAUGAACAAUGAAAUGGCUACAGAGAGUUGAAUGAUUCAUACACCAAGAUUACUUUUCCCUUGACACUACAGGAAAUUAGUCUUUUAUUAACCCAUGAAAACAAUUAUUUAUUAAAUGAUUGUUGCAUCACACUCACCACUUGUCCCAAGAAAUGGUAGCAAUUGUUUGUGUGGUUGGAUUAGUCAGGCUCAUCAUUAAUAAUUUCAUGAAGCAGUAGAGGCCUGUCAUAAAUUAAAGUAACCCAAAGAAUUUAUUAGUUCACAUAUCUGCUUCCUUUAAAAAAAAAAAUUAAAUGUACAUGGCAUACGUAGAUGGAACUUAUUAAUAACUUUACCAAGAACAGAGUGCCUAACCCAACUAUACUCUCAUCCUCUUAAAGCCUAAUUGUGCUAUAUUGGCCUUCAACGAAACCAAUCAAUGAAUUUAUCCCUUUUACUCUUAUUUUAAUUAUAUUAUCAUUAUUAAUGACAGUAUAAAGUAUUAUGUUCAUAUGCUCUUUUUGCCUUUUGGUUGACAGCAUAAGCAUUGGUGGUGCCAAAAAUUUUAACUUUUGACCCUACAAAAGGUUACUUAAUCUAUUUUACCAUCUCACUUUACAAACAGUCAACAUCAAUGGUUUUAUUUUAGUAUUUAACAUAUGAAAAUAAUAUAAAUAACACAAUAAAAUAAUAUAUCCACUACAAUAAAUAACAACCAAAACCAAAAGGAAAUAAUCAUUAAUGCAGCCCUAUUUUUCUUAUGUUGGUUGUUAAAUUUGGUAGUAUCGCAAUUUGACACCACCAAUGCUAAUGCUCAAGUGAAACCUACUAAUGACUGGUUUGGGCCUCACAAAAUUUCAUGGGCAGUCCUUUAAGCACAGAAAAAAAGGCAUGGGCACAAAGGAUCAUAUAUUCUGCAGAUGGAGCUCCAUUAGUUUGUCAUUUUUGGAUCUUAAGCAACUAACCUAUGAAGGCCCAUGGAUUUGUACCUGAUGGGUUUACUUAUAGCAUACUUUUUUAUGGGCAUUUGAGGUGUGGUGAUGGUGAGGCUGUAUUGUUUUUGUAUAAAGAAGCAAAUGAGAAAGGGGAAACGUUUAAAUACUAUGCUUGUAGGACUUGGUUGAAUAGGUUUUGAAAAACUAAUAGAGUGGACACAAUGGUGAAAGGACAUUGUCGAAGAGGUAAUGUAGACAAUCUGAACAAGAGCAAUGACACAACAUUGUUCAUAAUUUAUUAAGGUGUAAGUUAGGAAUGGAGCAAUAUUAUUUACAUUAGCCCACCAACACCAUUUUUAUAAAUCACCAAUUUACGACAUGCCAAAUUAACAAUCGUAAAAAAGUUGUCCCUGUACUUAUUGUGUGAACUCUGAGCAAACGGGAAGCCAUGGAUUCCGGCCAAACUGCAUCACUUGAAUCCUUUAAUUGACAGUUUUGGUGACAUGGGGGAGAUGAAUGAGGCAGAAGAAUGGAUAAAGGGGAUGGCAUAGAAGGGAGUUUUCCCAAAUAUUGAGACAUAUAAUACCCUAAUUGAUGACCUUCUGACAUGAGGGAGGUUGAAAGAGGCCCAGUUAGUCUGCUAAAAAAUGAACGUUAAAACGAUUUGGAUGAUUGACUGAUUGGAGCAGAAGAGGAUUAUUCUGCUGUUGCCAAAAGAUAGGAGAGGUUCUCAGGUGUUGUCAAGUGAGGCACAGCAAUUUAUAAGUAUCAAUAAAGAGAGACACAUGAUAUUUUAAGCUUAUGAUCUGGUGCAUGACUUUUAUGCUAAGGACAUUGGUUUGUGACUGGAAAAAAAAUUCUAGCAUUAACACUUACUGCCAGGGAAUAUCUAUGCCAUGGAAUAUGUUUUUUCCUUUUGCCAUUUGGAGCCUUUGGCUUCAUAGAAAUAAAAUUGUGUUCAAAAGCUCUCCUCCAAACCAUGAGCUGGGUAGGGAGGUCUGUGCUAUUGCCAAUGAGUACUGUGCCUCUUGGUCUAAGAGGGUUAAAAGGAAGCAGGUUGUCAAAGUCAGGUGGAAUAAACCUGAAGUUGGCUGGGUCAAGCUUAACCCAUAUGGCUCUUCAUUACGCAAUCGGGAUUUCACUAGCGGAGGGGGCCUUAUUCGAGACCAUAAUGGGGUUUGGAUCAAAGGCUUCACCCACUCUAUUGGGGUAUUCACCAGUGUUGAUGCUGAACUGUGGGCUUUAAGGGAAGGAUUACUUUUAUGUACUAGCUUGAAUUUUGUGGAUGUGGAAAUUGAAUUAGAUGCCAAAGUAGUGCUUGGAAGGAUAUCUAAUGAGUAUAAUAGUAGUUUGCAUCAUGCUUCUCUCAUUAUCGAUUGCAGGACCCUCAUUAGCCAAUUCCUCAAGCAAAGAUGA